rnacentral:misc_RNA from 1 species
GGAAGGAUCAUUACAAAAAAAACAAACAAAAAUUUAUUUCAAAAAACAAAGGAAAAAGAAGAGUAUUUCUUUGAAUCGUUAAACGACAAAAAAUUUUUACAACUCUAUGCAACGGAUGACUUGGUUUCAUGUUGGUUGAAGAGCGCAGCAAAGUGCGAUAAUUGAUGUGAAAUGCAAAACUUUAUGAAUCAUCAAAACCUUGAACGCAAUUGGCAAGUUCCUGAAAGGAACUUAAGAAAAAAAGAGAGGGGAUAAAAAAAGAAAUUGAAUGAGAUUUUUCUUCACUGAAAGGAAUUUCUUGAAAUACAGUAAGGAGAGCCUCUUGAGAUUUGGCAUGCUUAAAAAAGCGGUUGGACAAAGUGCGAACAACAUGAGAUAAUCAUAAUCAAAUGUUUGUCCGUCUGUCUGACUUUGCUAUGCCAUUCGCAAGAUCUUGCGCCGAUUCCUCCGAAAGCCAUAUGUGCUUUCUUCUUCUCCCCCUCUUUCUUUUCUUCAUUACCCGCUGAAUUUAAGCAUAUUAUUAAGCGGAGGAAAAGAAAAUAAACAUGAUACGUCUAGUAGUGGCGAACGAAGAACGUAAAGAUCAAAGGAAAAGGGUCUGGCAACCAUACAGAUGCCAGACCGAUGCUCCUUUUGAGGAAGAGGUCAGGUGGCGCUGAAGCAGUCCGAAACUCAGUUGGAAAGCUGGGGCAGAGAGGGUGAAACCCCCUUGUCGGCGGCAUUGGAGGCGUCCAAAUCUUCUCUUCUUUUAGAGUCACGUUGAUUGUGAUUUCAGCGUAAAGCAGCUGGUAAAUUUCAGCUAAAUCUAAAUAUGACAUGAAGACCGAUAGCGGAAAAGUACUGCGAAGGAAAGUUGAAAAGAAUGCCGAAAGGCAAGUUAAAAGAACCUGAAAUUGCAUAGAGGGAACAGAAUGGGAAGAGGAGGAGCUCGUUCCUGGUUCACUGGGGGCGAGCGAAAAAGGGCAGCGUGCUGCUGAGAGGAGACAGGGCUCCACAGGGGGACCACAUACAGUGGUUUGCUUUCUGGGGGCUUGCAAACUGCUCGCGUGCGCUGAGGAAAAACCAAAGGUCUCUAUCGAUGCUCUGCGGCGCGGUGGCGGCUCGACAGUUGGGGGACAAUUCAUUGUCCCUUGAUUAGCCGGGCUGCCAUGCAGCGCUCAUCAAUCACCGAGACUGGCUCUUUUAACGUCCUCUUCUCUUCGUCCCGUCUUGAAACACGGAUCAAGGAGUCUUGCAGUAUGAAGAGUAUGUUGGUGGCAAACCAAACAAUGCGCAAUGAAAGUGAAUAGGGUAGAGGGCGGUGUAACAGCUGCUUGCAUUCCCAGCGGGAAUUUGAUUUUUUUGAAGAUUCUCAGCAAAAUUCGUACUGUUAGUACCCGAAAGAUGAUGAGCUAUGCCAGAAUCGGGUGAAGCCUCAAGAAAUUGAGGUGGAGGUCCGACAUCGUGCUGACGUGCAAAUCGCUGGUUGAAUUUUGGUAUAGGGGCGAAAUACUUAUCGAAUCAUUUAGUUGCUGGUUUCUUU